GGGGUCGUCUGCUAGCUUGGUUAGGCUCUGUGCUUAGGGAGCAUAAGACCCGGGUUCAAAAGGAAACUGAAAAUCCCGGCGACCCCA
rnacentral:tRNA from 1 species